rnacentral:rRNA from 1 species
AGUGAACGCUGGCGGUAGGCCUAACACAUGCAAGUCGAACGGCAGCACAGUAAGAGCUUGCUCUUACGGGUGGCGAGUGGCGGACGGGUGAGGAAUACAUCGGAAUCUACUUUUUCGUGGGGGAUAACGUAGGGAAACUUACGCUACUACCGCAUACGACCUACGGGUGAAAGCAGGGGAUCUUCGGACCUUUCGCGAUUGAAUGAGCCGAUGUCGGAUUAGCUAGUUGGCGGGGUAAAGGCCCACCAAGGCGACGAUCCGUAGCUGGUCUGAGAGGAUGAUCAGCCACACUGGAACUGAGACACGGUCCAGACUCCUACGGGAGGCAGCAGUGGGGAAUAUUGGACAAUGGGCGCAAGCCUGAUCCAGCCAUACCGCGUGGGUGAAGAAGGCCUUCGGGUUGUAAAGCCCUUUUGUUGGGAAAGAAAAGCAGCAGGUUAAUACCCCGCUGUUCUGACGGUACCCAAAGAAUAAGCACCGGCUAACUUCGUG